UACGAAGGGGGCUAGCGUUGUUCGGAAUUACUGGGCGUAAAGGGCUCGUAGGCGGUCAACUAAGUCAAACGUGAAAUCCCUCGGCUUAACCGGGGAACUGCGCUUGAUACUGGAUGGCUUGAGAUUGGGAGAGGGAUGCGGAAUUCCAGGUGUAGCGGUGAAAUGCGUAGAUAUCUGGAGGAACACCGGUGGCGAAGGCGGCAUCCUGGACCAACACUGACGCUGAGGCGCGAAGGCGUGGGGAGCGAACGGG
rnacentral:rRNA from 1 species